GCUCAGGGGUGCGCAAGAACCUCGUGAGGCGCCAGCCCAAUCUUGCAUCCUUCCAAUUCCCUUACUUUCCGAGGAGGAUGCUUCAUG
rnacentral:ncRNA from 1 species